UUAAUUGAAGCCAAAAUGAGGCAUAUUAAUGUUAAUAAUAAAAUUGAACUUCAAUGUUCCAAUUAAG
rnacentral:tRNA from 2 species